UACAGAGGGUGCGAGCGUUGUCCGGAAUCACUGGGCGUAAAGGGCGCGUAGGUGGCGCUCCAAGUCUGUGGUGAAGCUCGAUGCUCAACAUCGAGUCGGCCAUAGAGACUGGAGGGCUCGAGCACUGUAGGGGCAGAUGGAAUUCCGGGUGUAGCGGUGGAAUGCGUAGAGAUCCGGAAGAACACCGGUGGCGAAGGCGGUCUGCUGGGCAGUUGCUGACACUGAGGCGCGACAGCGUGGGGAGCAAACAGGG
rnacentral:rRNA from 1 species